UUCAAAACCAAAGUCUGAUGUUUUAAACUUCAAAAUCCUUUAUAACUUACACUUAACACUAUGAAAAACAACAAAAAAAUUAAAAUCACUCGAAAAUUGUUCGAAUGUUUUUUAUGCCCAGAAUUGUUCGGAAACAAAGUCUGAUAUUUUGAGCUUAAAAAUCCUUUCUAGGUUACGCUUAAAACUGUGGAAAAAUUAAAAAUCAACGAUAGU
rnacentral:lncRNA from 1 species